CCCUGGGUGGUGCAAAGGUUUAACAUGCUUAGCUGCUAACCAAAAGGUUGGAGGUUCAAGUCCACCCAGAGGGA
rfam:Loxodonta africana unplaced genomic scaffold scaffold_9, whole genome shotgun sequence.